AAUGAACGCGGCGGCGUGCUUAACACAUGCAAGUCGCACGAGAACGCUUCAGCUUGCUGAAGUUAGUAAAGUGGCGCACGGGUGAGUAACGCGUGGGUAAUCUACCUCCGAAUUGGGGAUAACACUGCGAAAGCGAUGCUAAUACCGAAUAACAUCUAAAAAAUUUCGAUUUUUAAGAUCAAAGGUGACCUCUUCAUGUAAGUUACUGUUUGGAGACGAGCCCGCGUACCAUUAGCCUGUUGGUAGGGUAAUGGCCUACCAAGGCUACGAUGGUUAGCUGGUCUGAGAGGAUGAUCAGCCACACUGGAACUGACACACGGUCCAGACUCCUACGGGAGGCAGCAGUGAGGAAUUUUGCGCAAUGGGGGAAACCCUGACGCAGCAACGCCGCGUGAGUGAUGAAGGCUUUCGGGUCGUAAAACUCUGUCAAGUGGGAAGAACCUGCAUGGUGCUAAUAUCACCUUGCACUGACGGUACCACUGAAGGAAGCACCGGCUAACUCCGUGCCAGCAGCCGCGGUAAUACGGGGGGUGCAAGCGUUAUUCGGAAUUACUGGGCGUAAAGAGCGCGUAGGCGGUCUCUUAAGUCAGAUGCGAAAGCCCGGGGCUCAACCCCGGAAGUGCAUUGAAACUAAGGGAC
rnacentral:rRNA from 1 species